CGUCUGUCUCAAAAUCUGCAUCUUUUAGGAUGCAGUGCUAUGGAUUUCAGGAGAGAAAGAUUGAUUUGAUUGGGACAUUGUAGUGAAUACUUUCCCCUCUGUUCUCUUACCUGCAGAAAACAUCUGGGACGGGGUCCUGGACCCCUCCUUAAAGAGCUGGGAUUUGAAGAAAGGUUUUCUUAUUUGUGGAAGACAGUACAAGACAAUAUAUUAGGAAUAUUGAAACUCUGAAGCGAGAGAGAGACUUAAGAUGGGGCUCCUUUGAUCACGACGAGACGGUAAUAUUAGGCUCUACAAUCGCACACGUUGAGGCCCAGACAGCUACAGAGUAGAUGGUUUUAUCCCUCUGGAAUCCAGGCACCUAAAUUCUGCCAAAAUUUAGGCAGAAGAAAGACAAUCUGGCACUUGCCCACUCUGUUUUCUGUUUG
rnacentral:lncRNA from 1 species